rnacentral:lncRNA from 1 species
AAUUCUAAUAUGACGUGCUUCUUUCGCUUUGUAAACAACACUGUGUGAAAAUUCUCGAUAUAUCUAUACUCAGCGCAGACUCAGAGAUAUACAUAAUAAUGGAUGUUACAAUAUAUCUCCCACGUAAAUCCACAUGUAUUUGAACCUACUUUGCAAACGUUUUGCCAAUUUUAUUGUAUUAGAAAUUGUAAUAAAACAAAAGACAAAAGAACUUUUAUUCUUAUUCGAAUGCAUAAUAAAAAGAAUUAAUGUAUUGCAACUAGUUUUGUUUAUUUCCUAAAUAUAGUAACACAGCUAUAUUUUGUGCAAUGUCAAUUUCAUCAUGGAACACUUUCUCUACAAUCAGGGGUUCAUUAAG